rnacentral:rRNA from 1 species
GACGAACGCUGGCGGCGUGCUUAACACAUGCAAGUCGAACGGAAAGGCCCUGCUUUUGUGGGGUGCUCGAGUGGCGAACGGGUGAGUAACACGUGAGUAACCUGCCCUUGACUUUGGGAUAACUUCAGGAAACUGGGGCUAAUACCGGAUAGGAGCUCCUGCUGCAUGGUGGGGGUUGGAAAGUUUCGGCGGUGGGGGAUGGACUCGCGGCUUAUCAGCUUGUUGGGGGGGUAGUGGCUUACCAAGGCUUUGACGGGUAGCCGGCCUGAGAGGGUGACCGGCCACAUUGGGACUGCGAUACGGCCCAGACGCCAACGGGAGGCAGCAGUGGGGAAUAUUGCACAAUGGGCGGAAGCCUGAUGCAGCAGCGUCGCGUGCGGGAUGACGGCCUUCGGGUUGUAAACCGCUUUCGCCUGUGACGAAGAGUGAGUGACGGUAAUGGGUAAAGAAGCACCGGCUAACUACGUG